GUCGUGGUAGGAGGACUUGUUUUAU
rnacentral:piRNA from 1 species